CCUACGGGUGGCAGCAGUGGGGGAUAUUGCACAAUGGGGGAAACCCUGAUGCAGCGACGCCGCGUGUGGGAAGACGGUCCUCUGGAUUGUAAACCACUGUCCCCAGGGACGAAGAUGACGGUACCUGGGGAGGAAGCUCCGGCUAACUACGUGCCAGCAGCCGCGGUAAUACGUAGGGAGCGAGCUUUGUCCGAAAUUACUGGUUGAAAAGGGAGCGUAGGCGGGACUGCAAGUUGGGUGUCAAAUCUACCGGCUCAACCGGUAGCCGCACUCAAAACUGCAGUUCUUGAGUGAAGUAGAGGCAGGCGGAAUGCCUAGUGUAGCGGUGAAAUGCGUAGAUAUUAGGAGGAACACCAGUGGCGAAGGCAGCCUGCUAAGCUUUUACUGACGCUGAGGCUCGAAAGUGUGGGGAGCAAACAGGAUUAGAUACCCUGGUAGUC
rnacentral:rRNA from 1 species